AAGCUCGUGAGUCAAGUGUCGCACUGUGUCGUUGCCAUGGCUACGGCGUCACUAGGCAGUAGGAAUUUUUCUGCUCCGUUGUCCUACGUGGUCUGUGGUUGAGUGACACGCCAUUGUGCAGCACACGACCAUAGUGCUAAAUCCAGCUUUAGGCCGAGCUUGCAAAAACACCUAAGGAAUCUUCUGUAUCCUCUUCUGUUAUAUUUUUGUGUGUCAAGUUUGGUAACAUUUUUCUAGAUUUUUCCAUAUUACCUGUUUUUAGAUUUGUUGCUGUAGAGAAUAGAAUGCUUGUACUUGAAAAUCCUUGCUAUAUUCAUAAUUAUGUCCCCUUCUCAAGACUAAUAGUGUUUAUUUGUGCUUUCUUUUAUUUCUCUUGCUCCUAUUUAUUGAAUAUCUACUUAAUUUAUUAAGGUAUAUCAUCUUAAUGUUAUUUUAUU